ensembl:lncRNA
UGGUUGAGCAAGGCAGAGAAGCAAGCCACGGAGCAGCUUUGCGCCAAGGUCUCAACUUCUGCCUCUGUUUGCAUGACCCGGCUUUACUUUCUCCUUGGCUUUCACCCACGAUGGAGUAUAAAGUUGGUUCAUUUUGAAUUUCUUUCUGCUGUGUGGUCCACUUUUCCUGAGUGGAGGUCCUUGAAGGAUUGGGAAGGCCUCGGAGUCAGAAAAGCAUGAAGAUCAAGGAUAAACAUGGAAAGCUGCCAAAGAAGAAAUAUAGGCAACAACCAAGCCAGCAAGCCUUUGAUCUAUAAUAAUGUCUUGCCAGGAAGAAGAUAUCAAGGGCUGCUAGUGUAACUGUGACAUAAUGCUUUUUGGAGUAACCAACCAAUAUCUAAUAUGACCUGAAGCCACUUAUAAAGUCUAUAAAUAACAUUGCUUGUGUGACCAAGAACCCGAAAGGAGAUAGCCUAGGAAACUGGACAUAAAACCAAUAUUUACUUGCCAGAAUGAGGAGGAAGAAAAGGAGGAAGAGGAGAAGGAAGAGGAGCAGCAGCAGGAAAAAGAGGAGGGCGAAGAUGAGAAACAGAAGUAAGAAAAUGACUUCGAAUGGCAUUCUGCUAUAACAUGAAAUUAUUACCUUGCUAUCAGAGUAGCUUUCUCUAGCAGAAGUUGGGAACAAGAACAUAGACCCACAUGUAGAUGGAGAGAGUGAGAGACCUUCAAAUACUCAGGUCAAAAUAGGAUGUCUUCAUCACAUUCCUUUAUUAGGCUUUAGGAAAUUCUGCAGUCAAGCAAGUGAAGAGAGUGAUAGCCAGAUGGUUGGAGGAACCCAACAAAACAAGGUGCUCUAUGUCAACAAGUUCUAUGUACACAGGGAAUCAGAAGAUGAUGUACAAUGCACAGGCUUGCACCAGAUGGAAUCCUAGAGCUGAAACAACAAGUAGACAUACGCACCCCUCCCUCACACAGAAACUAUCUCUAAUUGAUAACCACUGGCAAAUAAAAACUAGUUUUCUCCAAAGGAGUCUCUCUAGGAAAGUCAAUUACUCUUAAGAGUAGGACUCAUCCCCAGCAGUGGAUGGAAAAUAGAAAACAAACUGAAAGGCAUACUGGG